CACCACCACCCCCCUCGCUCCGCCGCUGUUGCCGUCAUUGGGUGGGGAGCUGCAGGGACCGCGGAGAAAACAAGCAUGGGGAGCCCUGGUAAUUUCUCUUUGACUGCGUCCUCGGUGCGGCUCAUGGUGCCCAGGGGAGCGGAGCCCUGAGUCGGCUAGCCCGAACUGCAGCCUCGUCCGGUCCUCCGCGGCUCAGCUGCCCGCGGGCAAGGCGGAGCCCCGGCCCGCCGCUAUCGCCGUGCUCCCGGCACCCCGCAGCCGCCGCCGCAGCCACUGCCGGCCGUUCGGCUCCGCAGCCAUCUUCCGAGCCCGGCACAGACAGACGUCAGGAGGCUGGCCCGGCCCCUUCCCACGGCCGGGGGGGCUUGGGGAGGCGGGAGGGGGAGGCAGCGCCUACCUGGGGCGGGGGAAGCGGAGAGGGCUGACCAGGGAGCUCCUUGCCAUCUAGCAGUCGCCGCCAUGGCAACGGGUUCCCCCCGCCCACCCCCGCAUCCCCAACCGGGAGGGCGUGCGCCUGGCUCCUUGGAAGGGCCCCCUAGCCAUCCACCCCCACUAACACGGGAGGGGUGGAGAAUGCAGCCGUACCCCUCUUUCCCCCGCCCCCAGUCGGGAAGUAGGAGGCUUGGGGAGAGGAAGGAGACCCUUCAGCCGACGGAAAAGUAGCCGGCCCCUAAGGACUACUGCAGCGCGAGUAGAACGACUUCUCCCGCCGGGGACCGAGAUCAGUUCCAGGGCAUAAGCAACAGGAGAGGAGCACCCAUUAUUAAAUCGAACCUCGCAACUGCGGCAGGGUCCGGGACAGCAGUAUUAGUCCUAGCUAGCAGAGUGCUAGUCUCCGUCCCCUGCCCGGUACCUGGGCGGGGCCUUAGGCAAGCAGAACAACCUAAAGGCCGGACAAGUACCUCCGCCCGGAGACUGGGGAUCCGGGUGAUUAAAUAGAUAUUGCUCUUUCCGCCCCUCGCCGUCAAUAAAAUACUCCUCUGCCUGCUCUCUGAAA